UUGGAGGGCAAGUCUGGUGCCAGCAGCCGCGGUAAUUCCAGCUCCAAUAGCGUAUAUUAAAGUUGUUGUGGUUAAAAAGCUCGUAGUUGAAUUUCGGGAUCAGUAUGUUGGUCGUGCUUCGGUACGUACUGUCAUUACUGGUUUCUCCCUUCUGAAGAACCUUGAUGUCAUUAAUUUGGUGUCUUGGGGAAUCAGGACUGUUACUUUGAAAAAAUUAGAGUGUUUAAAGCAGGCAUACGCUUGAAUACAUUAGCAUGGAAUAAUGAAAUAGGACGUUUGAUUCUAUUUUGUUGGUUUCUAGGAUCGACGUAAUGAUUAAUAGGGAUAGUUGGGGGCAUUAGUAUUCAAUUGUCAGAGGUGAAAUUCUUGGAUUUAUUGAAGACUAACUACUGCGAAAGCAUUUGCCAAGGAUGUUUUCAUUAAUCAAGAACGAAAGUUAGGGGAUCGAAGACGAUCAGAUACCGUCGUAGUCUUAACCAUAAACUAUGCCGACUAGGGAUCGGAUGAUGUUAAUUUUUUAAUGACUCAUUCGGCGCCUUACGG
rnacentral:rRNA from 1 species